rnacentral:rRNA from 1 species
AACGAACGCUGGCGGCAUGCCUAACACAUGCAAGUCGAACGAAACCUUCGGGUCUAGUGGCGCACGGGUGCGUAACGCGUGGGAACCUGCCCUUAGGUUCGGCAUACCUCCCCGAAAGGGGUGCUAAUACCGGAUAAUGUCUUCGGACCAAAGAUUUAUCGCCUUUGGUUGGGCCCGCGUUGGAUUAGCUAGUUGGUAGGGUAAAAGCCUACCAAGGCGACGAUCCAUAGCUGGUCUGAGAGGAUGGUCAGCCACACUGGGACUGAGACACGGCCCAGACUCUUACGCGAGGGAGGAGAGGGGAACAUUGGAAAAUGGGGGAAAGGCUGAUCCAGCAAUGCCGCGUGAGUGAUGAAGGCCGUAGGGUUGUAAAGCUCUUUUAACCGGGAUGAUAAUGACAGUACCGGGAGAAUAAGCUCCGGCUAACUACGUG